rnacentral:misc_RNA from 1 species
UCUUGCUCAAAUAUAAUAAGGCUAGCUCUGCCUUCAAACAUCGACUUUCAUAAUCAGAAUGGUUAACUACACAGCAAAGGAGACUUUUUCGUUUCCAACAAGAAUGCCACUCAAUUAUUCAUCAAUGCUGAAUCUUAUACUUACCACAGGCAAGUUUAUUUUUUUCAAUACAAACCAAAUUUCGAAGAUCUUUGAGCUUAUUAGCAUGUUUUCAAAUGUGUUAGCAUCUUAUACAAUUGUUGCUCAUUGAAACUAACUUAGAUUGAAAUGCUAUUGGGAACUCCCUUCCCUGUGACCCCAGGUUCAGAUAAUGGCUUCAAGAGUUCAUAAGGAACAACACCGGCUCC